CCUACGGGUGGCAGCAGUGAGGAAUAUUGGUCAAUGGACGCAAGUCUGAACCAGCCAAGUAGCGUGCAGGAUGACGGCCCUCCGGGUUGUAAACUGCUUUUAGUUGGGAAUAAAAGGGGGCUCGUGAGCCCCGUAUUGUAUGUACCAUCAGAAAAAGGACCGGCUAAUUCCGUGCCAGCAGCCGCGGUAAUACGGAAGGUCCGGGCGUUAUCCGGAUUUAUUGGGUUUAAAGGGAGCGUAGGCCGGAUUUUAAGUCAGCUGUGAAAGUCCGCGGCUCAACCGUGGAAUUGCAGUUGAAACUGGGUGCCUUGAGUGGGCGAGAAGUAUGCGGAAUGCGUGGUGUAGCGGUGAAAUGCAUAGAUAUCACGCAGAACCCCGAUUGCGAAGGCAGCAUACCGGCGCCCUACUGACGCUGAGGCACGAAAGUGCGGGUAUCGAACAGGAUUAGAUACCCUUGUAGUC
rnacentral:rRNA from 1 species